AACGAACGCUGGCGGCGUGGAUAAGACAUGCAAGUCGGACGCUGAUUGCAGGGUAGCAAUAUUCUGCAGUUGGAGUGGCGUAAGGGUGCGUAACACGUGGGCAAUCUGCCGCGAAGACUGGAAUAACCCCGAGAAAUCGGGGCUAAUACCGGAUGUGACUAUCGGGGGGCCUCCUCUGACAGUCAAAGCUGGGGACCGCAAGGCCUGGCACUUCGCGAUGAGCCCGCGGCCUAUCAGGUAGUUGGCGGGGUAACGGCCCACCAAGCCAAAGACGGGUAGCUGGUCUGAGAGGACGACCAGCCACACUGGAACUGAGACACGGUCCAGACACCUACGGGAGGCAG
rnacentral:rRNA from 1 species